rnacentral:rRNA from 1 species
AUUGAACGCUGGCGGCAGGCCUAACACAUGCAAGUCGAGCGGAUGAAGGGAGCUUGCUCCUGGAUUCAGCGGCGGACGGGUGAGUAAUGCCUAGGAAUCUGCCUGGUAGUGGGGGAUAACGUCCGGACACGGGCGCUAAUACCGCAUACGUCCUGAGGGAGAAAGUGGGGGAUCUUCGGACCUCACGCUAUCAGAUGAGCCUAGGUCGGAUUAGCUAGUUGGUGGGGUAAAGGCCUACCAAGGCGACGAUCCGUAACUGGUCUGAGAGGAUGAUCAGUCACACUGGAACUGAGACACGGUCCAGACUCCUACGGGAGGCAGCAGUGGGGAAUAUUGGACAAUGGGCGAAAGCCUGAUCCAGCCAUGCCGCGUGUGUGAAGAAGGUCUUCGGAUUGUAAAGCACUUUAAGUUGGGAGGAAGGGCAGUAAGUUAAUACCUUGCUGUUUUGUCGUUACCAACAGAAUAAGCACCGGCUAACUUCGUG